AUGGGGUUUUGCUACAGCUUGGUACCGCUGUGCUUUAACAGCGAAGCUUACUUUGGAGAUGGGACGAAGUUGGUCGUUUUCGCACUGUGCUCUGGAAGCUAUAAUUAUUUCUUUGGUGAAGGGACUAAACUGACCGUUUUUGAAGGUACUAUUAAGGAACCCAGCAUCACUAUUUUUCAACCCUCUCCAGAAGAAGUUAAUAAGAAGCAGAAGGUGACAGUGGUUUGCCUCAUAUCUAACUUCUAUCCAGACAAUGUCAAGAUUACCUGGUUCAUCGAUAAUGAGAUUCAGCAGGCCAAUGACGCAAGGAUUCUGACUGAUCCUAAUUCCAGAUCAGCGGAUGGGGGCAAAUCCUACAGCAUCACCAGUCGGUUAAGAUUGGAGGCUCGUGAUUUCGUCCAGCCUAGAAAUGUUUCAUGCAAAGCGGAUCACUAUACUCCAGAAGAAGUGAAGACAUGCCGUGCAUAUUUGAGCAUCAGUAUUGCAACCUGUGGUAUUCGUAAAGAAGAAAGAAUCCAAAGCAUGGGAACAGCAAAAUUGACGUACUUGAUCCUGUUCUGCAAAAGCAUCUUGUAUGCAGUGUUCGUGUCAUUUCUUGCUUGGAAAACUAAGAUCUCUUCCAGCAAGCGGUUUGACUGAUCAUCAUAAAGCACCGAACUUAAUAAAUGGAUAAUAGCCGAACACAUGAAAGAGGGAGAAGAGACAAAGCAAGUGAAUUGUGAAUAUCGAUGGUUAACUUUAUCCAGUCCAUUCCUGCUGCAAUCCUGAAACUUUGAUCUUUUCCCGGACUCUCCAACAGUGUUGCUUGAGACUAUCAAAUUAAAUUUAUGCCUUGACUUGCCUUUUCAACAGAAAUAAUUAUUUCAUAGUCUAAUUUCUUUAAGUGUCUGUGCUUUGAAUAGAUUAAAUUUUAAGGGUGCACCAUUCCCAUUCCAGUCUGUCAUUCAUUAUCAAACGCUAGCCAUUUAAAAAAAAAGACCUUUAAGUAGAAUUAGGGAGAUUAAAAUGCAAGAGGAGGAUAUUCAAUGAAUCAUGCAUGUGCCUGUUCUUUCAAUGUCAACCAUGAGUUCCAAUAAUUACAAGGCCAACAGUAUCAGUUUCUCUAAUCCAUCCAUGCAAGUGAAUUUCUGCAUGCGAAAUUGCAUUUUCAUAAAGCAAUGCAUAUUAUGAAGUAGUGUAAUGCCUUUUGCAACUGUCAAUGCUAAUCACCUCAUAGAUUGCAAUGAAAACGGAAAUUAGAAUCAUGCAUCAUUUGUAACAGUGUUCAGUAGGUAAAGUAUAGUCAAG